AUUGAACGCUGGCGGCAGGCUUAACACAUGCAAGUCGAGCGGAGUGAUGGUGCUUGCACUAUCACUUAGCGGCGGACGGGUGAGUAAUGCUUAGGAAUCUGCCAUUUAGUGGGGGACAACAUUCCGAAAGGAAUGCUAAUACCGCAUACGUCCUACGGGAGAAAGCAGGGGAUCUUCGGACCUUGCGCUAAAUGAUGAGCCUACGUCGGAUUAGCUAGUUGGUGGGGUAAAGGCCUAACAAGGCGACGAUCUGUAGCGGGUCUGAGAGGAUGAUCCGACACACUGGGACUGAGAAACGGCCCAGACUCCUACGGGAGACAGCAGUGGGGAAUAUUGGACAAUGGGCGGAAGCCUGAUCCAGCCAUGCCGCGUGUGUGAAGAAGGCCUUUUGGUUGUAAAGCACUUUAAGCGAGGAGGAGGCUCUCCUAGUUAAUACCUAGGAAGAGUGGACGUUACUCGCAGAAUAAGCACCGGCUAACUCUGUGCCAGCCGCCGCCGUAAGAC
rnacentral:rRNA from 1 species